GGGACUAUGAUAUCAGGGACUAUGAUACCAGAUACCAGGGACUAUGAUACCAGGGACGAUGAUAACAGAUACCAGGGACAAUGAUACCAGGGAUGAUGAUAACAUAUACCAGGGACUAUGAUACCAGGGACUAUGAUAACAGAUACCAGGGACUAUGACACCAGGGACUAUGAUACCAGAUACCAGGGACUGUGAUACAUGAUACCAAGGACGAGGAUACCAGGGACUAUGAUCAGCUAGUUAAAAAAAACAUGUCAUCCCCUAGACAACACCAGCUUAUACAAAUAGGGCCAGAGACAACACAAGCUUAUACAAAUAGGGCCAGAGACAACACCAGGUUAUACAAAUAGGGCCGUAGACAACACAAGGUUAUACAAAUAGGGCCAGAGACAACACCAGGUUAUACAAAUAGGGCCGUAGACAACACAAGGUUAUACAAAUAGGGCCGUAGACAACACAAGGUUAUACAAAUAGGGCCAGAGACAACACAAGGUUAUACAAAUAGGGCCGUAGACAACACCAGGUUAUACAAAUAGGGCCAGAGACAACACAAGGUUAUACAAAUAGGGCCGUAGACAACACAAGGUUAUACAAAUAGGGCCAGAGACAACACAAGGUUAACAAAUAGGGCCAGAGACAACACCAGGUUAUACAAAUAGGGCCAGAGACAACACAAGGUUAUACAAAUAGGGCCAGAGACAACACCAGGUUAUACAAAUAGGGCCAGAGACAACACCAGGUUAUACAAAUAGGGCCAGAGACAACACAAGGUUAUACAAAUAGGGCCGUAGACAACACAAGGUUAUACAAAUAGGGCCAGAGACAACACAAGGUUAUACAAAUAGGGCCGUAUACAACACCAGGUUAUACAAAUAGGGCCAGAGACAACACAAGGUUAUACAAAUAGGGCCGUAGACAACACAAGGUUAUACAAAUAGGGACAGAGACAACACCAGG